UUAUAAAGAUAAAAGUAAGUUGAUUGAGCAUGGAAUGCUGCAAAUAACUUCAAAGAUCAAAGACGACCUGAACCCCGUCUUUCUACUGUCAAGUUUAAUGGGACAUCCUUUAUAAAUGACAAAAUUCAUUGAACCUUAAUUUAUGAAUGAAUUGGUUCAGAGCAUCAACAAGAAUCGCCUCUAGCACAACAAAGGCUACAACCACUAGACCUCCUUUCAGAUCAGGAUAAGGAAAUACAUCCAUGUUCGAUUUGUUCUACCACGCUGCAUAAAAUUUGGAAACUUAAAUUCGAUGAAUUGUAUUUAUAUUGUUUGCUAUAAUAUGUAAUCUUAAUCGUAAAAUAUCUUUAAAUAUUCUGAAAUAAAUAUUUUUCCUGCA